rnacentral:rRNA from 1 species
UACAGAGGUCUCAAGCGUUGUUCGGAUUCAUUGGGCGUAAAGGGUGCGUAGGCGGCGCGGUAAGUCGGGUGUGAAAUCUUGGAGCUUAACUCCGAAACUGCAUUCGAUACUGCCGUGCUUGAGGACUGGAGAGGAGACGUGGAAUUUACGGUGUAGCGGUGAAAUGCGUAGAUAUUGGGAGGAACACCAGUGGCGAAGGCGGCUCACUGGACUGGUACUGACGCUGAUGCGCGAAAGCG